AUUGAACGCUGGCGGCAUGCCUUACACAUGCAAGUCGAACGGCAGCGCGGGGCAACCUGGCGGCGAGUGGCGAACGGGUGAGUAAUAUAUCGGAACGUACCCUGGAGUGGGGGAUAACGUAGCGAAAGUUACGCUAAUACCGCAUACGAUCUAAGGAUGAAAGUGGGGGAUCGCAAGACCUCAUGCUCCUGGAGCGGCCGAUAUCUGAUUAGCUAGUUGGUGGGGUAAAGGCCUACCAAGGCAUCGAUCAGUAGCUGGUCUGAGAGGACGACCAGCCACACUGGAACUGAGACACGGUCCAGACUCCUACGGGAGGCAGCAGUGGGAAUUUUGGACAAUGGGCGAAAGCCUGAUCCAGCAAUGCCGCGUGAGUGAAGAAGGCCUCGGUUGUAAGACUCUUUGUUCUAGGGAAGAAAC
rnacentral:rRNA from 1 species